ensembl:miRNA mdo-mir-7333 mdo-mir-7333
AUUAUAUUCAGUCAACAGACCCUUUUAUACAUGAGUCUGUUGCCUGAAUAUAGUCA